CCUAUACUGCAGUCGAGCGGAAGAAGGGAGCUUGCUCCCGGAUGUUAGCGGCGGACGGGUGAGUAACACGUGGGUAACCUGCCUGUAAGACUGGGAUAACUCCGGGAAACCGGAGCUAAUACCGGAUAGUUCCUUGAACCGCAUGGUUCAAGGAUGAAAGACGGUUUCGGCUGUCACUUACAGAUGGACCCGCGGCGCAUUAGCUAGUUGGUGAGGUAACGGCUCACCAAGGCGACGAUGCGUAGCCGACCUGAGAGGGUGAUCGGCCACACUGGGACUGAGACACGGCCCAGACUCCUACGGGAGGCAGCAGUAGGGAAUCUUCCGCAAUGGACGAAAGUCUGACGGAGCAACGCCGCGUGAGUGAUGAAGGUUUUCGGAUCGUAAAGCUCUGUUGUUAGGGAAGAACAAGUGCAAGAGUAACUGCUUGCACCUUGACGGUACCUAACCAGAAAGCCACGGCUAACUACGUGCCAGUAGUCCCGGUCAUACGUAGGUGGCAAGCGUUGCCCCGAAUUAUUGGUCCCACAGGGUUC
rnacentral:rRNA from 2 species